rnacentral:pre_miRNA from 9 species
UCCCGAUAGCGUAAAAGUUAACUCAAUUUUGUAUGAAGUUGGAACUUUUACUUACGUUUGCCGGUAGAGGCGCUGUUCCAACUGCAUACAAAUUUGAGUUAACUUUUACGCUAUCGA